CCUACGGGUGGCAGCAGUGGGGAAUUUUGGACAAUGGGGGCAACCCUGAUCCAGCCAUUCCGCGUGAGUGAAGAAGGCCUUCGGGUUGUAAAGCUCUUUCGCAAGGGAAGAAAACUCGAUCUCUAAUAUAGGUUGAGGCUGACGGUACCUUGAUAAGAAGCACCGGCUAACUACGUGCCAGCAGCCGCGGUAAUACGUAGGGUGCGAGCGUUAAUCGGAAUUACUGGGCGUAAAGCGUGCGCAGGCGGUUUUGAAAGUCAGAUGUGAAAUCCCCGGGCUCAACCUGGGAACUGCGUUUGAAACUCCAAAGCUAGAGUAUGGGAGAGGGAGGUAGAAUUCCACGUGUAGCAGUGAAAUGCGUAGAGAUGUGGAGGAAUACCAAUGGCGAAGGCAGCCUCCUGGCCUAAUACUGACGCUCAUGCACGAAAGCGUGGGGAGCAAACAGGAUUAGAUACCCUUGUAGUC
rnacentral:rRNA from 1 species